rnacentral:rRNA from 1 species
CAGUCGCCACGGUAAUACAGAGGGUGCGAGCGUUAAUCGGAUUUACUGGGCGUAAAGCGUGCGUAGGCGGCUUCUUAAGUCGGAUGUGAAAUCCCUGAGCUUAACUUAGGAAUUGCAUUCGAUACUGGGAAGCUAGAGUAUGGGAGAGGAUGGUAGAAUUCCAGGUGUAGCGGUGAAAUGCGUAGAGAUCUGGAGGAAUACCGAUGGCGAAGGCAGCCAUCUGGCCUAAUACUGACGCUGAGGUACGAAAGCAUGGGGAGCAAACGGGAUUAGAUACCCCGGUAGUCCCUGUCUCUUAUAC